rnacentral:rRNA from 1 species
GAUGAACGCUAGCGGCAGGCCUAAUACAUGCAAGUCGAACGGUGUCUUCGGACAUAGUGGCGCACGGGUGCGUAACACGUAUGCAACCUACCUUACAUUGGGGGAUAGCCUUUCGAAAGGGAGAUUAAUACCGCAUAAGACAGUAACUAGGCAUCUAGUAGCUGUUAAAGAUUUAUCGAUGUAAGCUGGGCAUGCGUCCAAUUAGCUAGUUGGUGAGGUAACGGCUCACCAAGGCAAUGAUUGGUAGGGGAACUGAGAGGUCAAUCCCCCACACUGGCACUGAGAUACGGGCCAGACUCCUACGGGAGGCAGCAGUAGGGAAUAUUGGGCAAUGGACGCAAGUCUGACCCAGCCAUGCCGCGUGCACGAUGAAGGCGUUAUGCGUUGUAAACUGCUUUUAUACAGGAAGAAACGACUCUUGCGAGAGGCAUUGACGGUACUGUAUGAAUAAGCACCGGCUAACUCCGUG